GAUGAACGCUGGCGGCAUGCCUAACACAUGCAAGUCGAGCGAACAGUCCAGGCGUUUGGGCGGCUGGCGUUGGCGGAGGACGGAACAGUCCCUUGUGUACAACAUAACUCUAAGAAACGUAUGAUAAUGCCAAAUGGGCCCUUAUAGGGGAAGAUAUAUCGACCCUAGUGCGGCCGUGGUCUGAUUAGCUAGUUGUGUGAGGUAUUGAUUCACCAGCGCGACGAUCAGUAGCUGGUAUGAGAGGAUGAUCACAGACAUUGGGACUGAGACACGGCCCAAACUCCUACGGGAGGCAGCAGUGGGGAAUCUUGCGCAAUGGGCGAAAGCAUGACGCAGCCAUGCCGCGUGAAUGAUGAAGGUAUUAGGAUUGUAAAAUUCUUUCAACGGGGACGAUAAUGACGGUACCCGGAGAAGAAGCCCCGGCUAACUUCGUG
rnacentral:rRNA from 1 species